UACGUAGGGUGCAGGCGUUAAUCGGAAUUACUGGGCGUAAAGCGUGCGCAGGCGGUCUUUUAAGUCAGAUGUGAAAUCCCCGGGCUUAACCUGGGAACUGCGUUUGAAACUGGAAGGCUAGAGUGUGGCAGAGGGGGGUCGAAUUCCACGUGUAGCAGUGAAAUGCGUAGAUAUGUGGAGGAACACCGAUGGCGAAGGCAGCCCCCUGGGCUAACACUGACGCUCAUGCACGAAAGCGUGGGGAGCAAACAGG
rnacentral:rRNA from 1 species